GCAUCACUGGUGUUCGGGUUGUCAUGCCAAUGGCACUGCCCGGUAGCUAAAUGCGGAAGAGAUAAGUGCUGAAAGCAUCUAAGCACGAAACUUGCCCCGAGAUGAGUUCUCCCUGACUCCUUGAGAGUCCUGAAGGAACGUUGAAGACGACGACGUUGAUAGGCCGGAUGUGUAAGCGCAGCGAUGCGUUGAGCUAACCGGUACUAAUGAACCGUGAGGCUUAACCUUACAACGCCGAAGGUGUUU
rnacentral:rRNA from 1 species